rnacentral:tRNA from 1 species
GCCUGGGUGGCUCAGUUGGUUGAGUGUCCGACUUCAGCUCAGGUCAUGAUCUUAUGGUUAGUGAGUUCAAACCCCACAUCAGGCU